GACGAACGCUGGCGGCGUGCCUAAUACAUGCAAGUCGAACGCAGUGGGGACGGGUGAGUAACACGUGGGUAACCUCCCAUCAGAGGGGAUAACACUUGGAAACAGGUGCUAAACCGCUACUGAUGGCUGGACCCGCGGUGCAUUAGCUAGUUGGUGAGGUCACGGCGCACCAAGGCCACGAUGCAUAGCCGGCCUGAGAGGGUGAUCGGCCACACUGGGACUGAGACACGGCCCAGACUCCUACGGGAGGCAGCAGUAGGGAAUCUUGGGCAAUGGGCGAAAGUCUGACCGAGCAACGCCGCGUGAGUGAAGAAGGUUUUCGGGUCGUAAAGCUCUGUUGUUAGAGAAGCGGUAUCUAACCAGAAAGCCACGGCUAACUCCGUGCCAGCAGCCGCGGUAAUUC
rnacentral:rRNA from 1 species